rnacentral:rRNA from 1 species
UACGAAGGGGGCUAGCGUUGCUCGGAAUUACUGGGCGUAAAGGGCGCGUAGGCGGCACUGUUAGUCAGGCGUGAAAGCCCCGGGCUCAACCUGGGAAUGGCAAUGGAUACUGGCGAGCUAGAGUGUGUCAGAGGAUGGUGGAAUUCCCGGUGUAGCGGUGAAAUGCGUAGAGAUCGGGAGGAACAUCAGUGGCGAAGGCGGCCAUCUGGGACAACACUGACGCUGAGGCACGAAAGCGUGGGGAGCAAACAGG